UCUUUCCUGUUGACACCAACUGUAAAAGAGCCAACUUCGUAGAUGAUCUUUUGUUAUAGAAAAAUAUCAAAACAUGAUGAAAAGCUGCUGUAUUGUUCAAUGUACAUGCAACCGGGUCAAAAAAUCCCGACCGACGGUUUGCAAUGCUCCCAUGUAGGGAAAGAGCUUGCGAGAAGAGCCCUGUGGCUUAAAGCUAUUCGGCGUGGGAAAGUGGGAAAUGAAGGGACACGGUGUCCAUGUAGGCUAUAUGUGUGUGAAAAACAUUUAAUAACAGAAAAGGAGAGUGGACUGGGGUGGCUAUUGUGCUUGGAUAGGGAAUUCAAAUUGGGCCCCAACUGCCUGCAUCUUCAAACGCCAAAGAACAGUUGACUUCCUUUCCUGUUUCAUCCGAGAGAUGUUGGGUUUCCCAUACAUCUAUCAGUGCUGUGAGAAUGAAUUGCAGCAAGGAAAACAGAACAGAUAAAAAGAAAAGGGAAGGAAGAUAAUCGCCGUGGUGAUUAUUCUGAUAGACUGUUGAGUGGCAGUGUUGACAUGAACUGCUCCAUGGGAAGCUGGCUCUCACAAAGGGAUUCACAGGAGAAUCCAUCCAAUCCCAGGGGAAGCAAUUGAUGGCCAAUAUCCUGUUGGCUGAGGAGGACUGGGAUGUAAAGAAAGCCAAGCAUUUUGUAACGGCUUCUGUUGAGACAAGAAACCCGUUGGAAAGCAAAACAAACUAAGCACACAGAUCAAUGGAAAGAGGAUGGACAAUUAAGUCAGUCAAACAGAUGUGCUAAUUACAAUUGCAUUGAUAAUGAACUGAACCUGUUUUUCUUUUCAUAUCCCUUUUCUUGCCUAUAUGGCUUGUGCAUGUACAGUGCUGAAUUUCAUUCAGUGAAGUCAAUUCAUAUUCAUUCAAAGUCCUUCGAAGAGGUAAAUGGGAUUCUGUUGCUAAUGGAAAUGUCAUCAAGAAUGAGUUCUUCUCUUGUGUACUGUGUCAGAGAAGUCAGAGAAAACUAUUACAUUCCGACUGUAUGUGGGUUUCCAUCCUAAAGAGGCAGAACUCAACUCUACUGUGUCCCCAGAUGAGGGGAUUACAAAUGAUGAUACACCAAAUCAUGCUGUGAAUUUGGUACUUGCGUCAUUUCAUUCCGACUGUCCUAGCUACAUGACUGUUCUGCAAAGUCAGGACACAUUGGAAAUGCUUUUCUCUGUAUGAUUUUGAUCCAAA